CCUACGGGUGGCAGCAGUGAGGAAUAUUGGUCAAUGGGCGGAAGCCUGAACCAGCCAAGUAGCGUGCAGGAUGACGGCCCUACGGGUUGUAAACUGCUUUUAUACGGGAAUAACGCGCCUUACGUGUAGGGCUUUGCAUGUACCGUAUGAAUAAGGACCGGCUAAUUUCGUGACAGCCGCCGCGGUAAUACGGAAGGUCCGGGCGUUAUCCGGUUUUAUUGGGUUUACAGGGCGCGUAGGCCGGAUGUCAAGCGUGCUGUGAAAUGUCCGGGCUCAACCCGGGCCUUGCAGCGCGAACUGGCGGGCUUGAGUCCGCGGAAAGCAGGCGGAAUUCGUCGUGUAGCGGUGAAAUGCUUAGAUAUGACGAAGAACCCCGAUUGCGAAGGCAGCUUGCUGCAGCGGAACUGACGCUGAUGCUCGAAAGCGCGGGUAUCGAACAGGAUUAGAUACCCUUGUAGUC
rnacentral:rRNA from 1 species